CUAAUCGGAAAAGACUACCCGCUGAGUUUAAGCAUAUC
rnacentral:rRNA from 1 species